AUACGCUGGCACCCUGAAUCGCUUCAGCCACGUAGACAAUUACUUUCCUUAUACGCAAAAUAAAGAAACAGAAUAACUGGUGCGUGGCAGGCUGAAGAACAAAAUCAGCGACGUGCUAAGCCAAAACCGAGAUACCCAAAUGAGAACUCGUAAAGCAAGGGAUCAGUAUGCACAUGGAAUAGUCUGAUCGUGAAGAAAACGUCUGGACCAAGUUCGAAGAAAACGUAUGGAUCGGCCGGCGUUAAGUUAACGAAGCAUCUGGAUGGCAACUUGUCCGAAUGCUCCAUGUUACCGACAAUGGAGACGGGAUCAAAGAAACAUUGGAGAAUGUACCGCGUCCGCCACCUCUUCUGUUAUCACGGAAGCAGUGACUAUUUACUGACUAAGGGAUGUGGUAACAUAAGCGUAACCAAGGAAUACGGCGCACGCCCACCGAAUGUCAUCUCUGCACUAAUUCAUAGAUCUCGAAUAUCGAUCACAUUUACUGAUCAAUUAUGAAUAUCAAACAGACUUGCUGAUUAAUAUUGUAAAUACAAUGUAACAAAAUAACUGUUGUGACGGUUUACUAAGCUGCUUAUUCGUAUUACUGAAUAGAACCACACGAGAUCGAUUUCUUAAAAAUUGAAUUAUUUUACGAAGCUAUGCAGAUUUGUUUGAAUCAGCUGGCUGACAACAUUAAUUCGCCAGCCAAACAAUGGCGACAAAAUCUCAUGUCACUAUAUCACCGCCUUGGGCAAUAUCAUCAACACAACUUCAAUGCCUGCCAAGGCACUGGACACCAAGUUUCCGCGUUCAGAUGGCAUUUGCCCACAAUUUCCCCGGUGGAGUGCACGGAAACUCGUCCAGUGAAGGAGGCGCUCCGCACCCACAAGGCAUGCAUCCCACCUGGACGAGGCCAACGCGUCCACCCUGGACCGGCUCGACACGGCCGCCAUGGACGAGAUCCACACCUGCGGCGCUGCCCAUCACCUGCUCCGACACCGGCUCGGGCUGCAGCGCUCCCGGACAGUCCUGCGCCGUGUCCGGCAACUUCCACGUCUCGCUGUCAUCCAUCCUUCCAAGUCUCGCUGUCAUUUAUCUGCGGCUAUUACUUUUGCGGCGGAUUUGGCCAUUACAUAGUAAUUGCAUCUUGCGAAUAUCCCGUGAGUUUUAUUGCCAUGCAAACAAUGUGCUCGCAGAUGCAGCCACCCAGUGACCAUUCAGCUUACUGGAAUACGCUUUCAUUCGUGUUAUUUAAUGACUUAGUUGUUACCACCAGACCUGUGCCGAAUGUACCGUGAUAAAACAAUAGGAGUGAAAAAUACAAUCGAUGUGAAAAUGCAAAGGUUGUCAACUAAAUUUACACGCACUGUGACCAUUAGUAAUUCUAACACAGCAGCUUGUUCGAAACUUCAUAUAAGUAUACAAACAAGCAAAUCAAAGCAAGAAUAUUUCCGCAAUACUAUCUUGCUCCGGAAUCGUGCCCAUUACUCAUACACCAUUCCCCGUUGU